AUGACUUUUUCCAUCUUUGCGGAUAAAUGGUCAGACUCGAUCUGUGAAAUAUGCGAAGAAGGACCGACAUUAUGGUGCAAAUGUAGCAGACAAAAGGGUUUGGGCGAGCUUUUGCCAGUUAAAUUUGGCUAACCUGCAGAAAGCCUAUUGUCAAGCCAGCCAUGCUUCACUGAGCUCUCUUCCCUCUUUAUGGUUAAGUGAACCUCAAAACAAUGACAAAGAAAUAUGCACUGAGUCACAUAUUCUAAGAAAUAGACUGUACUCUCCUCAAAUCGAAAUAACGGCACUUUAAUUCUUGGAUUUUCCACAUUUUCGUUGGUAAAGCUCCUAUUUGCUUUCUCUGAAUCUGUAUCAGUUCAUGCAGUUCUGCCAAGUGGGGAAGCUUUGCAGGACACUGCCACUGUAGCACUUGAAAUAUUAAGAUGAACAGAACAAGCAAAAGGUGGGAAAACUGGAAAGAUUGAAUGUCCUUUGGAGUUCACAGAGGUUUGGCAGUGGGAGGAGAAAAACAAAACGAAGCAUAGUGGGAGUGUUGAACCGACUUUCCCAAGAUCCCCAGGAAAAGCAAAGCUACUAUAAGAACUCACUACAUCAACGCGUAUUCAUUAUUGAGACCAUCCUAGGAGAGCUGCAUCAUCACAGGCUGCUCUGAGGUCUGUGCCCAAUCAAGCAAAGAACAACGGAGAUAAUCACACUGUGCAGAGGGUGACCAAUUUAGAAAAAAAGGACUCUUAAGAAGAUCGUCCAACUUCCUUAAAUGACUUUCAUUAAUUUUACACCUUUUGCCAAUUAAUUGCACUUAUGAGCCUUGCUUGUCAAUUACUGCAUUCUCACUUUCAGCAACUGAACUAAUCUUUGCCUAUUCAUAUUUUGUUUUUUAAAUAGGUAUUUCCAAUUAUUGAUAUAAAUCUUUAUGAUUACAUUACAAAUGUCUGACCAUAUUUAUUCAUUCUUCAUAGAGACAAAAUAAAGGUUCUAUUAUCUACAC